CAAGGUAUGCCAAUCGCAGGCGUGGGUGUUAAUUCAUAUGAGUAUAAUCCUUCUCUUGGUGGUGUUUCAUAUCAACCAAUUGUUCCAUAUCAACAAG